rnacentral:rRNA from 1 species
UACAGAGGUCUCAAGCGUUGUUCGGAUUCAUUGGGCGUAAAGGGUGCGUAGGUGGCGCCGUAAGUCAGGUGUGAAAUUUCGGAGCUUAACUCCGAAACUGCAUUUGAUACUGCGGUGCUUGAGGACUGGAGAGGAGACUGGAAUUUACGGUGUAGCAGUGAAAUGCGUAGAGAUCGUAAGGAAGACCAGUGGCGAAAGGCGGGG